CCGCUUUCUUAUGUUCCACACAGCACGUCGAGUUCUUCAUUGACCGUGGCGUGCUGGGAGUGAACAAGGAGGCGACGCACACUGUUCUCGAGUAUCGUGGCGACCAGGUACAGCCGCACACGCGCCACAAGUUCGACAGCUCCAACAGCCUCGUAGUGCCCGUGAUGCCGCCCACUCUGGUCGGGGUGUGCCGCCUACUGCAGAUGUACUAUGUGCUCAAGGUACGGGAGGCGAUGGAAAAG
rnacentral:lncRNA from 1 species